GACGAACCGUGCGAACGUUAUUCGGAAUCAUUGGGCUUAAAGGGCGCGUAGGCGGCUUGCCAAGUCAGGGGUGAAAUCUUUCGGCUUAACCGGAAAAGUGCUUCUGAUACUGGUGGGCUGGAGGGAGGUAGGGGCAGAUGGAACUUCCGGUGGAGCGGUGAAAUGCGUAGAUAUCGGAAGGAACGCCGGUGGCGAAAGCGAUCUGCUGGACCUCUUCUGACGCUGAGGCGCGAAAGCCAGGGGAGCAAACGGG
rnacentral:rRNA from 1 species